rnacentral:rRNA from 1 species
GGAUAACAGGCUGAUCUCCCCCAAGAGUUCACAUCGACGGGGAGGUUUGGCACCUCGAUGUCGGCUCAUCGCAUCCUGGGGCGGUAGUACGUCCCAAGGGUUGGGCUGUUCGCCCAUGAAAGCGGUACGCGAGCUGGGUUCAGAACGUCGUGAGACAGUUCGGUCCAUAUCCGGUGUAGGCGUUAGAAUAUUGAGAGGAGCCUUCUUUAGUACGAGAGGACCGAGAAGGACAUACCUAUGGUGUACCAGUUAUCGUGCCAACGGUAAACGCUGGGUAGCUAUGUAUGGAGUGGAUAACCGCUGAAAGCAUCUAAGUGGGAAGCCCACCUCAAGAUGAGUAUUCUCAUCAUGAAAAUGAGUAAGGUCACGGUAAGACUAACCGUUCGAUAGGC